GCUGCAGGGAGCACUCUGCUACGUGAGGACUGGAGGGAUAAGCAGAGCUUCUCACCCAAAUCUGGAUAAAGGAUUGCAUGUUAACAUGCUUUCCCUUUCUUCCCCUCCCUUCCACUCCCCUCCCAAAAGUAUCUGGCAGUGAAAGAAGGAUGAAGGAAGCAGAUGGGAAAAACAGAGGAAGAAAAGAAAAAGAAGACUUUCGUCUUCAUGUGUAAAUUUUCUGGAGUUUAAAGACACAUGACUUCGAUGUUACUGAGAUUGUGUCAUAAUCAUCAAACGGAGCCCGUGCCAAAUAAACCAGAUGGAGCUUUCAAUCAACAAGCUGCAUUUAUUAUUGAUAUCUGUGGCUUAUUUGUUAUCCAUGCACCUUUUAACAGCAUAAGAUUUCAGAGUCUGCAUGAGAAGUUAAUAUCUGAGUAUGGGAGAGUCACCUCUGUGGAUUGAUCUGGUGGCCCAGUCCAGCACCACUCACCUCUCCACACCCAGCACUGUAAUCAGCAAGUCUCUACACAGAGCACAAGAGUUAAGCAAUCAGGAUGACUUAACUAUCAACUUGACCUUUGAGAUCCCUUCAGAACAGGUUUGAUCCACACUGAUUUACUUUAUCCUUCAAACCAUCAGAUCUGUAUUAAAACCCUGAUUGACCAGAAGUAAUUAUUUGAUGCCUUAUGUUAGCAAUGUCCCAGGCCCCAACAUGAAAACUGAGGAUGAAAGUCACACCUUAGUAAAGUCAAAGGGAGGAUUACUUUCAGUGGAACUGGAAUUUCACCCAGAAAACCAUACCAACAGUGUUUGGGUCCUAUCUAUGUCUGAAGGCAUGUCAAUCUUUCUGUGGUGCCUAUCAUAUUAUGUAAAAGGUAUCUCACAAGCUACUCUGAUAUAUUCAUUUAAAAAUAGGAGAUUUUAUUGAAAAAAAAGAAUACAGUAAUGGCAUAAAUGUUGUACUGGUUUGCUAUAAAAUGCUGUGUCACCUGGUAUGAUAGUUAUAUUGUUCUGUCAUUCCUUUGGUAAUGAAAGUCUUCACUUAUUUGUAUAUUAUUUUUUACUGAACAUGAGGAACACAUAUGGGGAAAAAAUGCAAAAUUACCAUUAGACAUUAGUGAUAAUUACCAACAUUUCCAUGGAUUCCCAUAACUGCUUCUCAGUAACUUUAGUCAUUUGUUUUCCUCUCUUAAAUUUCCUUCAAAGGUCAUUUCCAUAAGCUGCCACUUUCUGGGGCAGAUGAAUCAGCUGCCUUUGCAACUCCCUGUUUUGUCUCUAGGGAUAGUUUUCUACCUAUAUUUUGAUCCAAGCAGGUUGGAUUCUUUCCAAAAGCUGCUGAAAAACAAGACCUCUCUCAGUCAUGUAGGGGAAACACUGAUAUACAGUUAACUCAGUAUACAUCAAGUAUUAGGUAACAAGAUUUCUAGGCCCAUGUUAAAAAUAUAUUUUGCUUAUUCUGAUUUGAUUCUAAUUAUGUAAUUUGCUUAGGAGACAGUCUAUAAACAAUUUUAACUACUCUCACCUAUGUACCUACCCAAGACACUGAGGAUGGACUACUGCAGAGUACUAGGACAUGUAUGGAUAUAAAUUUCUAAAAGUCACAGAAUAAUACUCAAUAAAAGUAAAGAAGACAAAGCAUUGGCCUGUCCCAUGUAUAACUUUGUUACUGAAUUUUAUACAAACAUCGUGCUCCAAGUAUGACAUAAAGUGUGGACAUUCACAGACAGGACGCUUCCUCC